UACGGAGGGGGCUAGCGUUGUUCGGAAUUACUGGGCGUAAAGCGCACGUAGGCGGACUCUUAAGUCAGGGGUGAAAUCCUGGAGCUCAACUCCAGAACUGCCUUUGAUACUGGGAGCCUUGAGUUCGGGAGAGGUGAGUGGAACUGCGAGUGUAGAGGUGAAAUUCGUAGAUAUUCGCAAGAACACCAGUGGCGAAGGCGGCUCACUGGCCCGAUACUGACGCUGAGGUGCGAAAGCGUGGGGAGCAAACAGG
rnacentral:rRNA from 1 species